AUGGACACCGUGGGCGCCCGGCUGAGCCGCUCCUCCACGCGCUAUGGCCCCGUCGGCAGCAGCAACGCCUCCUUCAGUGGCCCCGUCAGGAAGUGGCGCAAGGCGUGGGCCCCUCUCGCCGGCGGCGGCGCGGGGUCCGCCUCCGCCGGUAUGGGUCCCAUUGGGUGCCCGAGGGGUAACAAGGUGGUGCUGCUCAAGUGGGCGCCGGUGAGCGGUGCCGGCGACGGUAACAACAAGGAGGUCGCCGCGGCGGCCACCAGACGGCGAUACGUUCCGGUUUCGGGUGUGCCACAGAACUCUACCAGAAAAGGCGGCAGCACCGAGCUGAACUUGAACCUCGGUUUGGAGGACCCGGAUGAUGACAGCGACGCUGAUUUGAGCCCAGACGAACAGCGUGACAUGGGCAGCACCCCGCAUUCGGAGAACCGACUGAAGAGGAAAGUGUUUUAA
rnacentral:rRNA from 1 species